rnacentral:lncRNA from 10 species
CACUCACCCAUACCUACACACACAUACAUACACAACUACACUCAUACACACCUAUACACACAUACACACCUACAUACAUUCACACCUACACUCAUACCCACAGCUACACACACACAUACAUACACACCCACACACACACCACAUAUACACACCUACACUCAUACACACACCUACACACACAUACAUACACACCUACAUUCAUACAUACACACACCUACAUUCAUUCACACCUACACUCAUACACAGCUACACACACCUACACACACUCUACACACCUACACACCUACACUAAUACACACCUACACACACCCACACUCAUACACACCUACACUCAUACACACCUAUACAUACCCCCUACACACCUACACACCUAUACACAUACACAUCACACACAUACACACCUAUACACAAUCCUUACCUACACACCUACACACACCUACACUCAUACGCACCCAUACACACACCCCUACACACAUACCUACACACACAUACCUACACUCACACAUACCUAUGCACACAUACACCCCUACACACACACAUACCUAUACCUGCACUCAUACAUACACACCUACACACACCUACACAUACACACCUAUACACACCUACACACACCUACGCAUACACACCUAUACACACAUAAACACCUACACACACC